UACAGAGGGGGCAAGCGUUUGUUCGGAAUCACUGGGCGUAAAGCGCACGUAGGCGGAUUGCUAAGUCAGGGGUGAAAUCCUGGAGCUCAACUCCAGAACUGCCUUUGAUACUGGCAACCUUGAGUCCGGGAGAGGUGAGUGGAACUGCGAGUGUAGAGGUGAAAUUCGUAGAUAUUCGCAAGAACACCAGUGGCGAAGGCGGCUCACUGGCCCGGUACUGACGCUGAGGUGCGAAAGCGUGGGGAGCAAACAGG
rnacentral:rRNA from 1 species